CCGCUCUGGUCUAAUGGGAGGACUCGUGGCUUUAGCCCAGUGCCCGCGCAGUGGGGGUUCGAUUCCCUCGG
rnacentral:tRNA from 1 species